rnacentral:rRNA from 1 species
AGCGUACACGGUGGAUGCCCUGGCAGUCAGAGGCGAUGAAGGACGUGCUAAUCUGCGAUAAGCGUCGGUGAGGUGAUAUGAACCGUUAUAACCGGCGAUUUCCGAAUGGGGAAACCCAGUGUGUUUCGACACACUAUCAUUAACUGAAUCCAUAGGUUAAUGAGGCGAACCGGGGGAACUGAAACAUCUAAGUACCCCGAGGAAAAGAAAUCAACCGAGAUUCCCCCAGUAGCGGCGAGCGAACGGGGAGCAGCCCAGAGUCUGAAUCAGUGUGUGUGUUAGUGGAAGCGUCUGGAAAGGCGCGCGAUACAGGGUGACAGCCCCGUACACAAAAAUGCACAUGCUGUGAGCUCGAUGAGUAGGGCGGGACACGUGGUAUCCUGUCUGAAUAUGGGGGGACCAUCCUCCAAGGCUAAAUACUCCUGACUGACCGAUAGUGAACCAGUACCGUGAGGGAAAGGCGAAAAGAACCCCGGCGAGGGGAGUGAAAAAGAACCUGAAACCGUGUACGUACAAGCAGUGGGAGCCUCUUAAUGGGGUGACUGCGUACCUUUUGUAUAAUGGGUCAGCGACUUAUAUUCUGUAGCAAGGUUAACCGAAUAGGGGAGCCGAAGGGAAACCGAGUCUUAACUGGGCGUUAAGUUGCAGGGUAUAGACCCGAAACCCGGUGAUCUAGCCAUGGGCAGGUUGAAGGUUGGGUAACACUAACUGGAGGACCGAACCGACUAAUGUUGAAAAAUUAGCGGAUGACUUGUGGCUGGGGGUGAAAGGCCAAUCAAACCGGGAGAUAGCUGGUUCUCCCCGAAAGCUAUUUAGGUAGCGCCUCGUGAAUUCAUCUCCGGGGGUAGAGCACUGUUUCGGCAAGGGGGUCAUCCCGACUUACCAACCCGAUGCAAACUGCGAAUACCGGAGAAUGUUAUCACGGGAGACACACGGCGGGUGCUAACGUCCGUCGUGAAGAGGGAAACAACCCAGACCGCCAGCUAAGGUCCCAAAGUCAUGGUUAAGUGGGAAACGAUGUGGGAAGGCCCAGACAGCCAGGAUGUUGGCUUAGAAGCAGCCAUCAUUUAAAGAAAGCGUAAUAGCUCACUGGUCGAGUCGGCCUGCGCGGAAGAUGUAACGGGGCUAAACCAUGCACCGAAGCUGCGGCAGCGACGCUUAUGCGUUGUUGGGUAGGGGAGCGUUCUGUAAGCCUGUGAAGGUGUGCUGUGAGGCAUGCUGGAGGUAUCAGAAGUGCGAAUGCUGACAUAAGUAACGAUAAAGCGGGUGAAAAGCCCGCUCGCCGGAAGACCAAGGGUUCCUGUCCAACGUUAAUCGGGGCAGGGUGAGUCGACCCCUAAGGCGAGGCCGAAAGGCGUAGUCGAUGGGAAACAGGUUAAUAUUCCUGUACUUGGUGUUACUGCGAAGGGGGGACGGAGAAGGCUAUGUUGGCCGGGCGACGGUUGUCCCGGUUUAAGCGUGUAGGCUGGUUUUCCAGGCAAAUCCGGAAAAUCAAGGCUGAGGCGUGAUGACGAGGCACUACGGUGCUGAAGCAACAAAUGCCCUGCUUCCAGGAAAAGCCUCUAAGCAUCAGGUAACAUCAAAUCGUACCCCAAACCGACACAGGUGGUCAGGUAGAGAAUACCAAGGCGCUUGAGAGAACUCGGGUGAAGGAACUAGGCAAAAUGGUGCCGUAACUUCGGGAGAAGGCACGCUGAUAUGUAGGUGAAGCGACUUGCUCGUGGAGCUGAAAUCAGUCGAAGAUACCAGCUGGCUGCAACUGUUUAUUAAAAACACAGCACUGUGCAAACACGAAAGUGGACGUAUACGGUGUGACGCCUGCCCGGUGCCGGAAGGUUAAUUGAUGGGGUUAGCGGCAACGCGAAGCUCUUGAUCGAAGCCCCGGUAAACGGCGGCCGUAACUAUAACGGUCCUAAGGUAGCGAAAUUCCUUGUCGGGUAAGUUCCGACCUGCACGAAUGGCGUAAUGAUGGCCAGGCUGUCUCCACCCGAGACUCAGUGAAAUUGAACUCGCUGUGAAGAUGCAGUGUACCCGCGGCAAGACGGAAAGACCCCGUGAACCUUUACUAUAGCUUGACACUGAACAUUGAGCCUUGAUGUGUAGGAUAGGUGGGAGGCUUUGAAGUGUGGACGCCAGUCUGCAUGGAGCCGACCUUGAAAUACCACCCUUUAAUGUUUGAUGUUCUAACGUUGACCCGUAAUCCGGGUUGCGGACAGUGUCUGGUGGGUAGUUUGACUGGGGCGGUCUCCUCCUAAAGAGUAACGGAGGAGCACGAAGGUUGGCUAAUCCUGGUCGGACAUCAGGAGGUUAGUGCAAUGGCAUAAGCCAGCUUGACUGCGAGCGUGACGGCGCGAGCAGGUGCGAAAGCAGGUCAUAGUGAUCCGGUGGUUCUGAAUGGAAGGGCCAUCGCUCAACGGAUAAAAGGUACUCCGGGGAUAACAGGCUGAUACCGCCCAAGAGUUCAUAUCGACGGCGGUGUUUGGCACCUCGAUGUCGGCUCAUCACAUCCUGGGGCUGAAGUAGGUCCCAAGGGUAUGGCUGUUCGCCAUUUAAAGUGGUACGCGAGCUGGGUUUAGAACGUCGUGAGACAGUUCGGUCCCUAUCUGCCGUGGGCGCUGGAGAACUGAGGGGGGCUGCUCCUAGUACGAGAGGACCGGAGUGGACGCAUCACUGGUGUUCGGGUUGUCAUGCCAAUGGCACUGCCCGGUAGCUAAAUGCGGAAGAGAUAAGUGCUGAAAGCAUCUAAGCACGAAACUUGCCCCGAGAUGAGUUCUCCCUGACUCCUUGA